UGGGGAAUAUUGCACAAUGGGCGCAAGCCUGAUGCAGCCAUGCCGCGUGUAUGAAGAAGGCCUUCGGGUUGUAAAGUACUUUCAGCGGGGAGGAAGGUGUUGAGGUUAAUAACCUCAGCAAUUGACGUUACCCGCAGAAGAAGCACCGGCUAACUCCGUGCCAGCAGCCGCGGUAAUACGGAGGGUGCAAGCGUUAAUCGGAAUUACUGGGCGUAAAGCGCACGCAGGCGGUCUGUCAAGUCGGAUGUGAAAUCCCCGGGCUCAACCUGGGAACUGCAUUCGAAACUGGCAGGCUAGAGUCUUGUAGAGGGGGGUAGAAUUCCAGGUGUAGCGGUGAAAGGCGUAGAGAUCUGGAGGAAUACCGGUGGCGAAGGCGGCCCCCUGGACAAAGACUGACGCUGAGGUGCGAAAGCGUGGGGAGCAAACA
rnacentral:rRNA from 1 species